UCUGCCUUGUAGUGGGGGAUAACUUGCCGAAAGGUAAGCUAAUACCGCAUACGCCCUAAGGGGGAAAGCAGGGGACUCUUCGGAGCCUUGCGCUAUUAGAUGAGCCUAGGUCGGAUUAGUUAGUUGGUGGGGUAAUGGCUCACCAAGACCGCGAUCCGUAACUGGUCUGAGAGGAUGAUCAGUCACACUGGAACUGAGACACGGUCCAGACUCCUACGGGAGGCAGCAGUGGGGAAUAUUGGACAAUGGGGGAAACCCUGAUCCAGCCAUGCCGCGUGUGUGAAGAAGGCCUUCGGGUUGUAAAGCACUUUAAUUUGGGAGGAAGGGCUUACGGUUAAUAACCGCUAAGUUUUGACGUUACCAAAAGAAUAAGCACCGGCUAACUUCGUGCCAGCAGCCGCGGUAAUACGAAGGGUGCGAGCGUUAAUCGGAAUUACUGGGCGUAAAGCGCGCGUAGGUGGUUCAUUAAGUUAGGAGUGAAAGCCCCGGGCUCAACCUGGGAAUUGCUUCUAAAACUGGUGAGCUAGAGUACGGUAAAGGGUGGUGGAAUUUCCUGUGUAGCGGUGAAAUGCGUAGAUAUAGGAAGGAACAUCAGUGGCGAAGGCGACCACCUGGAUUGAUACUGACACUGAGGUGCGAAAGCGUGGGGAGCAAACAGGAUUAAAUACCCUGGUAGUCCACGCCGUAAACGAUGUGCACUA
rnacentral:rRNA from 1 species